rnacentral:rRNA from 1 species
CGAAGGAUCCAAGCGUUGUCCGGAUUUACUGGGUUUAAAGGGUGUGUAGGCGGGCUAUUAAGUCAGCGGUGAAAUCUCCGGGCUCAACCCGGAAACUGCCAUUGAUACUAUUAGUCUUGAAUGUUGUUGAGGUGGGCGGAACGGGUCAUGUAGCGGUGAAAUGCAUAGAUAUGACCCGGAACACCGAUUGCGAAGGCAGCCCACUAAGCAAUGAUUGACGCUGAGGCACGAAAGCGUGGGGAUCAAACAGGAUUAGAUACCCUGGUAGUCCACGCCCUAAACGAUGAUUACUCGACGUUGGCGAUACACUGAUCAGCGUCCAAGCGAAAGCAUUAAGUAAUCCACCUGGGAAGUACGUUCGCAAGAAUG